UACGAAGGGGGCUAGCGUUGCUCGGAAUCACUGGGCGUAAAGCGCACGUAGGCGGAUUGCUAAGUCAGGGGUGAAAUCCUGGAGCUCAACUCCAGAACUGCCUUUGAUACUGGCGGUCUCGAGUCCGGGAGAGGUGAGUGGAACUGCGAGUGUAGAGGUGAAAUUCGUAGAUAUCGAGAAGAACACCGGUGGCGAAGGCGGCCAUCUGGACGGUGACUGACGCUGAGACGCGAAAGCGUGGGGAGCAAACAGG
rnacentral:rRNA from 1 species